rnacentral:snRNA from 1 species
GGAUGUGAGGGUGAUCUCCUGUGACAUCAGUCUCCCAAUUGAUUAUCACCUGUGUAUCUGGCUGGGUAGAGAGUUGUCCCUUUUUCUCCCUCACAUCUCCAUGUGCACCCACCCCAAAGCUGGGAGCUGGGAAAGAGGAUAACAUUCCACAAUUAGAGGAGCAUGUAAUGGCUAUU